UACGAAGGGGGCUAGCGUUAAUCGGAAUUACUGGGCGUAAAGCGUGCGCAGGCGGUUUUGCAAGCCGGAUGUGAAAUCCCCGGGCUCAACCUGGGAAUGGCAUUCGGGACUGCAAGGCUGGAGUGCGGCAGAGGAGACUGGAAUUCCUGGUGUAGCAGUGAAAUGCGUAGAUAUCAGGAGGAAUACCGAUGGCGAAGGCAGGUCUCUGGGCUGACACUGACGCUCAUGCACGAAAGCGUGGGGAGCAAACAGG
rnacentral:rRNA from 1 species